AAUAAUUGGUAUAAAAGCUUUGGUCUCUUUUUGUAGGUUUAACCACCUUGUGUAAAGAUCUUAUCGCUCAAUUUUUGAGAUGGUAAAUAAGUCUUCAAAGCUCUUAUGUUUGAUAAAUUUGAAUUUUAUGAAUGGAGAAAGAUGAUGAAGAUGUUCAUAAUGGCCUAAGAUUUUAGAGCUUGGAAUGUGAUAGAGAAAAAGGCUUGGAAUUCUUUAAAUAAUGCAAACUAUAUGAAGCAAGUGAUUAAUGAUGUCAAGGUAAAGUGCUUUCUCUAUGGAGCUCUUGACUCUCACAACU
rnacentral:lncRNA from 1 species